rnacentral:rRNA from 1 species
GAUGAACGCUAGCGGCAGGCUUAAUACAUGCAAGUCGUGGGGCAGCAGGACUGUAGCAAUACAGUUGCUGGCGACCGGCAAACGGGUGCGGAACACGUACGCAAUCUACCCAGAACUGGUGAAUAGCCCUCCGAAAGGAGGAUUAAUACACCGUAAUAUCAUAAAGUGGCAUCACUUAAUGAUUAAAGCUACGGCGGUUUUGGAUGAGCGUGCGGCCCAUUAGGUAGUUGGUUGAGGUAAUGGCUCACCAAGCCUGCGAUGGGUAACUGGUGUGAGAGCACGACCAGUCACACGGGCACUGAGACACGGGCCCGACUCCUACGGGAGGCAGCAGUAAGGAAUAUUGGUCAAUGGACGCAAGUCUGAACCAGCCAUGCCGCGUGGAGGAUGAAGGCCCUCUGGGUUGUAAACUUCUUUUAUGGGGGACGAAAUCACUUAUUCUUAAGUGUCUGACGGUACCCCAGGAAUAAGCACCGGCUAACUCCG